rnacentral:lncRNA from 1 species
UUCCCCAUUCCUCAUUUUCCUAUAUCGAUACUACAAUUUAUAAGCAACAGUUAGCCAUGGCCAUCCAGCAUCUGCUCCUCAUCGUCUUCCUGGCUUCCGUCCUCCAAGCGGCCACCUCCGACACAGCGUACGACCUUUUGGAGAAAAACAACUUCCCGCGGGCUCUCCUGCCUCAGGGUGUGAAGUCGUACGUGAACCAUGGGGGCGCCGUUGAGGUGACCCUCCCUGCCUCCUGCGAUUUCAACGUUACGGUUGCCGGUGGAUCACACAAGAUUCGGUUUGACAGCAUAGUCAGUGGGGUUAUCCGGCCCGGAUCCAUAACUCAACUGGGCGGCGUGAGGAUCCAGUUUGAGUGGGAUUUUCUUGCAUUCCACACGGUUCAACGCGUCGGUGACAAGCUCAGGUUUACUGGUAGUGAGCAUGCAGCCACGUUCGACCAGUCAUUUCCGGUUAGCAACUUCGUGCAGAGCGCCAGGUGCAGCUAAGGGUCUGAUUGAUUAGGGAUGCAUCGCACGCAUGCUUUACUAUAAUGUGUAUGCAAGAUGCAUGUGUCUCUGUGAGUCCGUUGCUUUAUGUAGAAUGAAUAAACUGAUUAUGUAAUAAGUCAUGGUUCCAAGACCAAAUAUUAUUGUGAUGAUCAUUUUUUUUGCGCAGUUAUUUAUUGUGAGAUGUUGCAAUGGUUCCUCCUACCCUCAGGAACAAGAAAUUCCACAUGAUAUACUCUGUCAGAGUCUCGCAGGUAAUUAGAAAUAAUCUUGAUCUACAUAGCAUCAGAUCCACAAGGGUGUCCGAUGGGUUGUAAAAUAUCGCAGGGCUUACUGAAAAAUAGAAGAGCAAAACAACUCAAUCCUAAUGUGUAAUAUUCUUUGUGACAUCUGACAUUAACAGCCACUAAAAUAAGAAAGGAGAGCAAGGUAUAUUUGAUCUUUCACUCCCCAUGCAUUAUAAGUUCUACAUGUUAAUAAAUGCCUAGACACCUUCCCCCCGAAAAAAACAAGAAGAAUGCCUAGACUCUUAUUUAGUUCAUUUGCAGAAUGUUCUCUAAAAAUAAUCAUUGCAUUUCUCUGAAAAGAUCAACAUUGCUUUAGAAAACCGUGGAAAAAAACAUCAGCAAUAUUUUCUUCUUUCAGGGGAUCAGCUAUAUUUGAUGGCAUACAUAAAGUAAGUAUAUUCCAAUAUUCAGUGAGCAAAUCCCCAAGUAGUAAUUCCCAUUCAGCAACAGGGAUGAUAUUAAUAUUUUCUUGUGAUCCGUACAAAAAGUUCAAAAUUAGCCAAAAUACUGAAGGGGGGUGUCCCGGUAGCUACACCUACUUUCUAUGGCCAGAAUCGGUGGAAUCGGAUGCGGCGGCCCAAGAUUUGGUAGCAGACAUCCCGGGCGGCAGGGUGGCGGCGGGGCUGAGAACAGCCGAUUGAGUUGCGGCGGCGGCAUGAGCUGCGACAGUCGGUCAGACUAGGUGUGGGGUGGCGACCGUCGGCGGUGGGGUAGUCUCAUCGCGAGUGGUUGGGUUCCUGCUGCAUUGUUUUUGGUUUCAGCGCUGCUGAUGUGUAACAAAAUUUUGGGUAAUUUUCUUUUGCAACAAAUAGGUAUAUAGGGCAUCUUUUGGACACUUUUUUUGCCCAAAGUGACCUAACUGACAAUUUUUUUGACACAACGGCUAUUUUACAUCAUCCGUCGAAGAUGCUCCACUACAAGAAAGCAUAUUAAGCUGAGUGUGCAGACCACCUAGCAAAGGCUGAUUUCGCCUCGGUGGGUUUGACACUCAGCGUAGCGCACUCAAGGUACAUCAUGUCGGCAUACCGACGUAAGCCGAGUGCCUUUCGUCCACUAGUAGAGAAAUGGCAGAACAAAAUAUCGUAGGGUGUGCGAUGGGUUGUCCGAUUGUGAAUUAUGUCUGGUGCUAUGUUUGCUUGUAAAAAAUGAGUAAUUGUAUAAUGUAGCACUUAUGUUAGACCUAGUCGAGCCCAUUCAUCGCACACGGUUUUGAAAGCGUGUGUGUUGGCACCCCAAUCGCCAACCCAUCCGAGCACACGAUUUUUAAUUAUAACCGUAUGUGAUGUACCCUUCCUAUUGCACAUAGUUUGUAUGUUCUAACUAUGUGUGAUGGACUCAAUAUCGCAUACAAUUUUUAUGCUCUAACAGCAGCCUAGGCUCGAGAUCAACCCAACGCGAUGGUUGAUGGACUAUGAGCAGGCCCUUCUACUAUAUUACUGAUCACUAGUUUAAAUAGGCAUUAUACUUCUCUCUUAUCUCCUGGCUGGGAUUUGGAUUAUGACAUCAGGCGGUGUAAUCGUGUUGCUGUGAGGGUGGACGGGCGGCUAGCUAACAAACCAAUUUCCGCAAUUUCAAAUUCUAAUCCCUAGCAAUUCCUCUCGAUCGAGUGAGUUGCUCACAGUUGGUAUAAGAUUCAGUGGUCCUGGAGUUGCCGCGACACCAUCACUGGAUGCGGUGGCGUGAUCAGCGGUGAGUGGAGGCGAUGGACAAGCCGUACGAGGAAGGGUGCAACGUGUACGCGCUUCAACGAGCGUAUUUCACCGUAGGUCUGGACCGGCUCUUCAAGGAUCACGAUGAGAACGCUCUAUGGCUUGCUUUCGGCUCAUGACCCAACAAUUAUAAUAGCAUGGAACAAUAAAAAAUAUAAAUAUGUUGGAGACGUAUCAUAACCCAACAAGAUCUAAAUUAAAUAUAUUGCUUGGAGUUGUUUUUUAGUUUAGUUGCAUUGCACAAGAAAACUUUAAGAGAAGUGGAAGGUGGAGGGGUAGGCACCUGCUCCUCUGCACUCUUCAUUUUGGAUGUUAUGUAUGAGUCUGUGCUGGCCUGAGUAGGCAUCCUGAAAGAGAUGAUCUGGACAAUGAGGAGAUAAUCAUUCUAUGCACCGCAUACCGAUGUAAAACUCAAGUAUAUCUAAAUGAAAUAUUUCUUUCUUGCGGGUGUUUUAUGUUUUAGUUGCACUGCACAACAUUAUUUGAAGAGAAGAGAAGCCUCAUCGGUACCCAAGCCAACAUAAAGGAUCAAACUGUUGGGGAUGUUGAUGUUUCCCCUUGAUUCAUUUUUAGGUUUUUGCAUAUGUUUCAUAUGUUGGCUGUGAAGUGCGUAAAUGACUGUUGCUCUGAAAUUUCAAUUCUAUAUGCAUGUCUAUUAUGAGAUGCAAAGCUUUGUGCAAAUGAAUGAUGUAUGCCUAUGUUUAUUUGAAUGUUUACUUUCAAUUUCAUUCACGUGACUAGUUAAGUAAUACAAAAAUUGAGGAGUGUUUCAUCUGACUAUCAUUAGCUGGGGAGAGUUCCUAAAAGAAAACAUUUAUACCCCUAACAUUUUUUUAGAAAGGAGGCGCUUCCUCGGCCAUAAACUGAGGUCCUUACAAAUCCACAAGUUCAACGAUCCGAACAACAAAGUUAAAAACAAAAGAUACAAGCCUGCAGGCAGAAUCACAGCGGCGCAGCGCUGACAAGCCAACAACGAGAAGGAAAUGGGCUAUCGAGGUAGCGAGGGGCGGUGAUGAGCCGGUGAUGUUCCCUACGGUGGUCGGCGCAUCUCAGUGCACCUUGCUCGCACCUUUGUUACGAGCUCCUGCACGCGUCCUCUUUCCUGUGGUUUUGCUAGUAGCUUAGUAGCUGGAUGCUUGAUGAAAUGAACAUACAAAAUGAAGGUGGUUAUUCGUAUGAAACUGCUUGUGGCAAGAAGGGAAUAGAAAGCGGGACGAAAUCACAUGUGCUGUCCAUGAUAUUGGAGGCGGUUUGCACAACCGCCGGCUUCGUGCGGAGUAUUAACGAAUCAGGCUUUGAGGAGGAAAUGAAACAAGUGUUGUAAUAUAUUCCAAAAAUAUUUGGUUGUAGGAAACAUUUGAAUUAAUAGUAUAUGAGAAAAAACUAAAAAAACCAUAUUAUAUAUUGUAUAGUUGAAAAAUAUUUGUCCAAUAUAGGUAGUAAAAUAAUAUAAUGGAUUUUUUCCCAUGCAUGUUGGGUGGGCCUUCGAUGAGGUGGCAUAUGUGCAUGGCUUAUAUGUGUAUGUUGAAAUAAAUAGAAUUAAUGAGGGUCAAUUCAUAAUAAAAAAUAAUUCUCAUGCAUGUUGUGCUGGAUCUUUGAUGAUGUGACAUGUGUGCAUGUUAAGAUAAUAGAAAUAGCGAGGAUAAACUAUUUAGGUACGUAGGAUAUGUUUUCAAUCUCAUUUCACGGUACGUAUUGAUUAUGCAGAUUUGAGGAACGUUUUGGCAAAACCAUUAACAAUAGUAUGUUCUAGGCCAGAAAUAAAUAUGAUUUAAUGGGAUGAUAUAUUUAGCAUAUUUGACGAGGCGGUUGAUGGAAUGAUAAUUAGGAACAAAAUAAAUGCAAUUAAAGUACGAUUGACUUUGAUUUCGUUGGGCAGCAUAUAUAAUACCCGGCCUGCCUCAGUCUAGACGUACUUCCCCAUUCCUCAUAUUCCUUGAUACAAUUUGUAAGCAGCAACAGUUAGCUAGCCAUGGCCAUCCAGCAUCUGCUCCUCAUCGUCUUCAUGGUUUCCAUCCUCCAAGCGGCCACCUCCGACACAGCGUACCACCUUUUGGCGAAAAACAACUUCCUGCGGGCUCUCUUGCCUCUGGGCGUGAAGUCGUACGUGAACCAUGAUGGGGGCGCCGUUGAGGUGACCCUCCCCGCCUCGUGCGAUUUCAACGUUACGGUUGCCGGUGGAUCUCACAAGAUUCGGUUUGACAGCAUAGUCAGUGGGGUUAUCCGGCCCGGAUCCAUAACCCAACUGGGUGGCGUGAGGAUACAGG